GCUUCGAUAGUUUUUUCUACAGUUGGCAGAUGAAACCAGAGUGUAUCAGGGGGCCAGCUACAACAGCCACAAGCCCUGUGAGCUGUGACCAUCUGUUCUCUUCUCCUGACUCCCCGCUGAGUUCCUGUUUCAGGGUGGUGGAUCCCGGUCAAUUCUUGUCGGUGUGUGAGGUGAGCGCUUUCAGAGGCCCCUGCAGAUUAGCAUCAGUUUUUGUUCAUCUAUGCCAUCAGAACUACAUACCACUGGAGUUCCCUGUCCAGUGCUUGAAAGUAUGAAGGAAGGACAAGCUUUUGAAAAGCAAAGAUGAGUGAUUGAUGACCCUGUUAGCUGCUAAAACAGACACAUUUACACUCUUAUACCACUGAUUGUGCUACAUUAAUUAUAUGCAGACGUUUUUUUGGUUAUAUUUUGUACCCUAUUAUAUAGUUACACAAUAUUAUACCUCCUGAAAUGUACACUUUUGUCCUGUGUAGAUAUGCAGAUAUUGUGCCAGUAAUGUGAAUGCGAACAUACUACAUAGCAAGUAGUUUAUUAUUAAUCACAAGGCCCUUUUUUUGUCUUUUCUGUGGUCUGUAGUACAAACAC